AGAUGGGCCAUCAAACAGGAGGGGCUGAGAAGAGCGGGCCAAUGGAAGCAGUCCAAGGUAGAGAACCCAGAGUGGAACAGGCUGACCUACAUGUGGCCCUCUCUGCCCAGUGGAGAGCUCAACCAGUAGGAAGCCUCUCGCCCGCACAGCACAGAGACUCAAAGCAGAAAGAGGCACCAGCAGGGAGAGGGAAAACAGUAACACGGCAGAAAUCCACAGCCUUGGGUUUCAGCAGUUCCUUGAGAGGUGCACAGUCUCUUCAUCUGCCCCACGCUGCUCUCAGGCUCUUCCUCACAGACGGCAGGGAGAGAACACUACUCCUAGAUCUGAUUCUAGACCAGCUGGUGUAUGUGUCCUGUGUGCAGCCGUGGGUUAACCCUCAUCUCAGUCGUGGUAGAAUGUCCAAACAGCGCCGCCUUCUCCACCUGGAGCCGGACAUGUCCCAGAUCCGCCACUACUGCACCCUCUGCCACCAGCAUGAUAUGGUACUGGAGGUAAGAGGUGAGAUACAGGAGGGCUCUCUGCUGGCCCCCUGUGGUGUUUUCUAUGAAGAGCAGAGCCAAAGAGUCAACGCCCCAGGAGGAUAGUGCUGAACAUGAUCACCUCAACAGUCUCAUGUGAGUCUGUCAGUAACAAACUAACAAGGCCAAUCAGGUCCACUCUCUGAUCCUGCAUACUAAAACUGCAUAAUAUGUCAUUGUGUCAUUAUGUCCCGUUAUUGUCUUGUACAUGUGUUCAGCUUCAUGAAAAGAAGUCCCUCUUUCAAUGUUAUUUGCGUCUUGACAUCGUGUGUGCUUUUCUGUUUCGGAAGGGACUCACACUCAAGAGCUCACCAGAAAAUAGAGACGUACCCUACUUUCAAAUACACGUGGCAAGGGAACCACGAGGGAGAAAUGUUGUGGAAAAUGGCUGCAGUGAUGUUGACCAACCUGCUAAGAACAAGGCUAAGCUGCUUUAAAACAAACAUACAGCCAUCGUUUCCGUGGGGUUGCACAGGGUACUCUGUUUCACUAGCACCAGUGCUCCAUUGUUCUGGAUUUUCAUGGCAUUGUGCGUCAAUUCUUUCUGCUUUCUCUCUCUCUUUCUCUGUUUUUUCUCUCAAUAGGUUGCAGCAGCGCAGUAGGAGCAUCACACAGGCCCACAGACAGCAGUUCGAGUUCAGUAAGGGCCAGAUAGUGAGCUGCAGAAACCCCUGUCUGGCUGUUUGGGUCGCUGGCCAUGGGGCAGUGGGGGAAGGUGGGGUAAAAACAGUUGGUGCGCAGCAACCCCUCUUACUCAAACCAACGUUGGACGCUGAAUGAGGGAGAGAGGACUCUUCAUCUGUUGGCCAACCCUGAGCUGGUAUUGUCUGUUUCCAUGACUACAAUCCCCCCCAGGAGACUCCUGCUCUGAACCCCGUCUCCUCACAGGCUGCUCUGUAGUCCUACAGAAAUAUAAGCCCUAUAGUUGUGGAGUAGCCAACCAGAAGUGGGGCUGGUUUCCAGAUCUUACGGUUCUGAGUGCAUUCUACACCUCAUCGCUGGACCAGGAAGUGACUGCAGCCAAUCAGGCCUCCGUGUGUGUACCGCCUGUGUGUCCCCAGAACCACUGCACCAGCAGGUAUACCAGAACCAGUCCAGAACAACUACUGUAGCACACUGUACUUGACACAGUGUUGGGUAUCCAUACCCAUUCUGUUCUGCUGUACAUUCUUAGUGUAUUCUGUGGUUCUAUGCGCUGGUUGUGAGGAUUAUAGGAAGGUUCGAAAGGAGUGGUACAUUUUGGAUACCAACUGUACAUUCUUCUUUGCUUAGAUGGUUAUUUGGGAAUAAUGUUGUCUGUACAGUAUUGCAUACUCUCUGAAUAAUUCUGUAUGCACUAUACCAGAGGAGGCUAGUUAUAGGAGGGACUCAGUGUAAUGGCUGGAAUAUAAUUAUGGAAUGGAGUCAGAUACGUUGUUUCCAUGUGUUUGGUACCAUUCCAUU